rnacentral:rRNA from 1 species
UACGGAGGGUGCAAGCGUUAUCCGGAUUCACUGGGUUUAAAGGGUGUGUAGGCGGGCUAUUAAGUCAGUGGUGAAAUCUCCGGGCUCAACCCGGAAACUGCCAUUGAUACUAUUAGUCUUGAAUUCUGUUGAGGUAGGCGGAAUAUAUCAUGUAGCGGUGAAAAUGCAUAGAUAUGAUAUAGAACACCGAUUGCGAAGGCAGCUUACUAAGCAGAUAUUGACGCUGAGGCACGAAAGCGUGGGGAUCAAACAGG